AAACAGGCAACGAAGUUGAAGAUCGCCAGAAACUUCAAGGAAGUAGAGCCAGAAGAACUUGACAUUUGUGUGCAAGGGAAUACAAACUUGAAGAAACAGGGGAGCGGUAGUUCAAACUACGAGCUAAGCAUUCAGUGCGCCCAAAGGGAAGUACAGAGAAGUUUGAUGUGUGAGACGCCACACCCCCCAAAACCAGUUGAGGAGAUUGUUGAUUUGACAACACCUGAAGUUCAAAUGUCAACUGGGUGGAAUCACAGGCAAACUUGCUACUCACCAUGCGAAAAUAAUAACGAGUACACAGCCGAGACUCCCCCACUCAAAAUGAAGAAGGACUACUCCAUGGUUCCAAUAAUAGGAAAAAGGUUAUUUCCAGAGGAGGAAAGCUGUCAACAAGAAUCCAGCGGCAGCAAAAGGAAUCCAGUACAACUAAUGGAAGAAAAAACUAUAAACAGCCGUUUUUUUAAUUUUUUAAGUGCUCUCUGUUUGUUAAUCGUUCUUUUCUUUUUUCUGAAUUUCUUUUUUUGUGCCAUAUGUAUAGUCAGGAUAACUCAAAAUUCAUGGAGGAAACAUGUUUAGGCAAGAGCGCAGCACAUUGGUCAACAGAACUGAUGAUUUUUACAACACAAAUCUCUCGUUAGGAAGGCCAAGCAGUUUCCGUGGAAAAGAAAAUGUACCACCAAAGAGGAUUGUCCAACCAAGCAGGUACCGUAGCUCACUAUACGGCUGCAGUGAGAGGGGCCAAAUAAUGCCACAUGAGAGAAAGAUGUAUGAGAACAUAACAUCCUUGGCCAAUGUUGAAGGAUCUUUUGAUUGACAAAACCAUCGCCACAUUUGGACAGUUGGGUAACUCGAUGAAAAUAGGUGGCCGGGUCCAGGCCUAUGUCACAAAUGUGUACUGCAGGCACCUAUUUAAUGAAAAUCAUCCUAGGAACUCACUCAAGCACUAUUUCUUCCACACUGCAUCUGAAUAUUUCCUAGGCAAAUGGAAAAAUGAUGAGGCAAGAAUUUGGUGGAGGAAGAAACUGAUUAGAAGUUUCAUUGGAGCUGGAAAAACACAUAAUCUUUCGAUGUCAGACAAGUUGUACUUUCCAACACUACACGAGGAAUAUUACUUUCUGUUCGUCGUCGACAUCAAGGGUCGCACAUUUUAUUUUUUGGAUUCUUUCUAUGAUGAGAAUAGCUCAUAUCAUAUGAACAUAAAAAAGAAGAUUAUCUCAAGCUUUAUAUGCACUUGGUACGAAGCUCGGCUCCAGCCAAUGGAUUUCAGUGCAUUCCCUACUGUUUACCCUAAAGUCCCUCAACAAGAUAACGAUAUUGAUUGUGGCAUUUUCACUAUGAAACUAAUGGGAUGGUGCCCAAGGAAUCCAACCCCUAUAGUUUUUUCACCAAAAAAUGUCCCAGAUGCAAGGAUCCGAUAUGCUGUUGAUCUCAUGUUCAGCCACUACAACACUUUGGAUGACGAGAAGAAGCGUGUCAAGGAGUUCCGCUUAUAGACAUGAAAAAGUGCUGACAGCUCCUAAAAGACACCACUCACAAUGACAAGAGGAGCUAUAUCAAGAGUCAUAUUAGCAAAAUCAAAGGAAAGAUGAGAUGUAUCAAACACAUAGUUAGCAAUUGUUAAACAUUUUCGAGAUGUUUUUCUAUUUUUUGUAUGAACAGAGAAUGUACACCUUUCUUGUUGCUGUACGCAUAUAUAUGCCCCCUCUGUUAUUUUUGUUUGGUUGGGAAACAUGUGCUCCCGAAGGUACUUCUACCCUAGUUUGGUCUUUUUCACUCGGUAAUGUGGUGAAACACAGGAACUAUAACAGUGUUUUGCUCAUGUGUUUAUGUUUGCACCUUUUCCAACAUUUUGCUUAAAUGAAUUUUCAUGUUUCCCGUGUGGGCAUCAAUACUUUUUUUGGUGUUUUCCAUCUGAUGGAGAGGGCCAAGGAGAUGACGACACAAAGGCACCAAAAACUUAU